rnacentral:rRNA from 1 species
UGUACCUACGGGGGGCAGCAGUGGGGAAUAUUGGGCAAUGGGCGCAAGCCUGACCCAGCAAUGCCGCGUGAAGGAAGAAGGCUUUCGGGUUGUAAACUUCUUUGACAGGGGAAGAGACGAAGACGGUACCCUGAAAACAAGCCACGGCUAACUACGUGCCAGCAGCCGCGGUAAUACGUAGGUGGCGAGCGUUGUCCGGAUUUACUGGGUGUAAAGGGCGUGUAGCCGGGCAGGCAAGUCAGAUGUGAAAUCCAUGGGCUCAACCCAUGAACUGCAUUUGAAACUGCUUGUCUUGAGUACUGGAG